AACGGAGGGUGCGAGCGUUGUUCGGAAUUACUGGGCGUAAAGCGCGUGCAGGUGGUUUUUUAAGUUUCGUGUGAAAUCCCUCGGCUUAACCGAGGAACUGCGCGGAAAACUGAAGAACUUGAAUACGGGAGAAGUGGGCGGAAUUCCCAGUGUAGAGGUGAAAUUCGUAGAUAUUGGGAGGAACACCGGCGGCGAAAGCGGCUCACUAGACCGAUAUUGACACUCAUACGCGAGAGCGUGGGUAGCAAACAGG
rnacentral:rRNA from 1 species